rnacentral:rRNA from 1 species
ACGAACGCUGGCGGCGUGGAUAAGACAUGCAAGUCGAACGAGAGAAUUGCUAGCUUGCUAAUAAUUCUCUAGUGGCGCACGGGUGAGUAACACGUGAGUAACCUGCCCCCGAGAGCGGGAUAGCCCUGGGAAACUGGGAUUAAUACCGCAUAGUAUCGAAAGAUUAAAGCAGCAAUGCGCUUGGGGAUGGGCUCGCGGCCUAUUAGUUAGUUGGUGAGGUAACGGCUCACCAAGGCGAUGACGGGUAGCCGGUCUGAGAGGAUGUCCGGCCACACUGGAACUGAGACACGGUCCAGACACCUACGGGUGGCAGCAGUCGAGAAUCAUUCACAAUGGGGGAAACCCUGAUGGUGCGACGCCGCGUGGGGGAAUGAAGGUCUUCGGAUUGUAAACCCCUGUCAUGUGGGAGCAAAUUAAAAAGAUAGUACCACAAGAGGAAGAGACGGCUAACUCUGUGCCAGCAGCCGCGGUAAUACAGAGGUCUCAAGCGUUGUUCGGAAUCACUGGGCGUAAAGCGUGCGUAGGCUGUUUCGUAAGUCGUGUGUGAAAGGCGCGGGCUCAACCCGCGGACGGCACAUGAUACUGCGAGACUAGAGUAAUGGAGGGGGAACCGGAAUUCUCGGUGUAGCAGUGAAAUGCGUAGAUAUCGAGAGGAACACUCGUGGCGAAGGCGGGUUCCUGGACAUUAACUGACGCUGAGGCACGAAGGCCAGGGGAGCGAAAGGGAUUAGAUACCCCUGUAGUCCUGGCAGUAAACGGUGCACGCUUGGUGUGCGGGGAAUCGACCCCCUGCGUGCCGGAGCUAACGCGUUAAGCGUGCCGCCUGGGGAGUACGGUCGCAAGAUUAAAACUCAAAGAAAUUGACGGGGACCCGCACAAGCGGUGGAGUAUGUGGCUUAAUUCGAUGCAACGCGAAGAACCUUACCUGGGCUUGACAUGUAAUGAACAACAUGUGAAAGCAUGCGACUCUUCGGAGGCGUUACACAGGUGCUGCAUGGCCGUCGUCAGCUCGUGUCGUGAGAUGUUUGGUUAAGUCCAGCAACGGGCGCAACCCCUGUUGCCAGUUACCAGCACGUGAAGGUGGGGACUCUGGCGAGACUGCCCAGAUCAACUGGGAGGAAGGUGGGGACGACGUCAGGUCAGUAUGGCCCUUAUGCCCAGGGCUGCACACGUACUACAAUGCCCAGUACAGAGGGGGCCGAAGCCGCGAGGCGGAGGAAAUCCUAAAAACUGGGCCCAGUUCGGACUGUAGGCUGCAACCCGCCUACACGAAGCCGGAAUCGCUAGUAAUGGCGCAUCAGCUACGGCGCCGUGAAUACGUUCCCGGGUCUUGUACACACCGCCCGUCACAUCAUGGAAGCCGGUCGCACCCGAAGUAUCUGAAGCCAACCGCAAGGAGGCAGGGUCCUAAGGUGAGACUGGUAACUGGGAUG